rnacentral:rRNA from 1 species
UACGUAGGGCGCAAGCGUUGUCCGGAAUUAUUGGGCGUAAAGAGCUCGUAGGCGGCCUGUUGCGUCCGCUGUGAAAUCCCGGGGCUCAACCCCAGGCCUGCAGUGGAUACGGGCUGGCUAGAGGCAGGCAGGGGAGAACGGAAUUCCUGGUGUAGCGGUGAAAUGCGCAGAUAUCAGGAGGAACACCGGUGGCGAAGGCGGUUCUCUGGGCCUGUACUGACGCUGAGGAGCGAAAGCGUGGGGAGCAAACAGG